AUGCUCCGGCUCCGUCGCAGCCUCCUCUCCCAUAUCCUCUCGUCCCCCUCCGCCUCUCCCAUCUCCCACCUCAGCCGCCUCAUCUCCGCCGCCGCGCCCGCCGUCUCCUCGAACCCUAGCUUCGCAGCGGAGGACUACCUCGUCUCCACCUGCGGCCUCACCCGGGCACAGGCCCUCAAGGCCUCCGCCAAGAUCUCCCACCUCAAGUCCCCAGCUAAUCCCGAUGCCGUCCUCUCAUUCCUCGCCGGCCUGGGUCUCUCCACCACCGAGGCCGCCGCCCUCAUAGCCAAGGACCCGCAGUUCCUCUGCGCCAGGGUUGAGAGGACCCUGGCGCCCGUCGUCGUCGAGCUCACCGCUCUCGGUCUGUCGCACUCUGAGAUCGCGCGCCUAGCCUCACUCAGCGGCCGCCAAUUCCGUUGUAGACCCAUCGUCUCCAGGCUGCAAUACUACCUGCGCCUCUUCGGCACCUCCCACAACCUCCUCCGAGUGAUGAAGUUCUGCAAUGUCCUCUCAUACAACCUCGACAGGGUGGUCAAGCCCAAUUUGGCGUUACUGCAAGGGUGCGGGCUAGCUGCUUGUGAUAUUGCCAAGCUGUGCAUCUCAACACCGAGGUUGCUCGCCGCCAGCCCCAAGCGUGUCCAGGCGAUUGUGGCGUGCGCUCAAAACAUAGGUGUGCCCCGUGGUUCUGGGAUGUUCAGGCACGCGCUGCGUGCUGUUGCAUCUUGCAGAGAGGAGGAGAUAGCAGCCAGAGUGGAGUACUUGAGGAACACGUUCAGGUGGACGGAUGCUGAGGUAGGCAUGGCCAUUUCUAAGUUUCCACCGGUGCUGAAUAAGUCCAAGGAAUCGCUGCAGCUCAGGUCUGAGUUCCUCAUCUCCGAGGCGGGUUUGGAACCGGUGCACAUUGCUCAACGGUCGGUAAUACUCGGGCACAGCCUAGAGGGACGGCUCAGGCCCCGGUACUAUGCUAUGAGGUUUCUCAAGGAAAAUGGAUUGCUCAAGCGCGACUCAAGCUACUAUACUGUUUUCAAGGAGUCCGACAUGACAUUCAAGAAGAAGUUCAUACACCCUCAUAAGGAAGCUGCACCGCACCUUGAAAAAGACUACGAUGCUGCUUGCAAAGGGGAAGUGCCCACUAAUUUCAGAUUCACAUAA
rnacentral:rRNA from 1 species